ensembl:lncRNA
CUGAGGGCCAAGUGCCUCAUCUGCAGAAUCAUACCCUGCAGGACAGAGACCUGCCCAGAGGCUUCUAGCACCUGUGCUCUGACCAUGUGACACACAAGGACUCCCUGGCUGCAUCUCCAGGACUAACUCUCUCCAUCCUCAACUGCUCAAUCCUCUCAAAAUUAAGGGAGAAGAGAAGGAAGGUACUGAUUCCUAAAUUACAGAUGUCUUCAGACACACCAGAAGAGGGCAUCAGAUCUCAUUACAGAUGGUUACAAGCCACCAUGUGGUUGCUGGGAUUUGAACUCAAGACCUCUGGAAAAGCAGACAGUGCUCUUAACCACUGAACCAUCUCUACAGCCCCACAAGUUCUCUUUCUUCUCACCUCUGCUAUCUGCUCCACAACCACCACCACCAUGUGUGAGUGCAUCUGAAGCUUACUGCCUGGAACAUGGCACCUAGCCUUAUGACAAGAUGGCAAGAGCCAAGACCAUCAGAGGAAAGAUGACUCCUUCAAUACUUUCCUCAGUGAGACAGGUGCCCAGGGCAGUGUUCAUAGAUCAGAAACCCACGGUCAUUGGUGAAGUUCACACUGGUACCUACUUCCAGCUCUACCUCCCCGAACACCUCAUCACAGGCAAGGAAGAUGCUGCCAACCACUACCUUUUGGCUCCUACACCAUUGGCUUACAAAGUUUCUAGCUAGAAGCUCUCUUACAUUUGUUCCUUUACACUUCAUCCUCUCUGACUGUUUUUUUGCUAUUUCUUGUAAUCACUUUUUUUCUAGAAGUUACUGUUGGCCUUACCCAUUUCCUUCUUCCCCUUUCCCUGGUGAGGUUUGUUAAACUGCUUGGGUCUGUGGACUCAUGGUUUCAAUCAAACCUGGAAAUUGGCCAUUUAUCUUAAACAUUGUAUCUGAUCUUCUUUCUCUACUCCUUCAGAGACUCAGAUUAUAAUGUCCCAGGAUACUUAAUAAAUGUCUUGCAGACUAACAGCUUGGUCUGUCUGUCCUUUCCCUCCCUCCAUUCCUCCCUUCCUCUCCCUCUCUCUUUCUUUUUUCUUUCUUUCUCCCCCUCUUCCUUCCCUUUCCUUUUCUUCUUUCUUCUGUCUUCCUUUCCCCUUCCUCCCCUUCUCCUCCCCUCUCUCCCUUCCCUCCCUUUGUCCUUCCUUCCUUUUCUAUUUUGCUCCUCCUUUCUCCUUAUUCCCUUUCUCCUCCCACCCUUCCCUUCUUUUCUAUUUUAGAGCUGUUUUUCAUUGUUUCUUCUUGUGUCUUGCUUUUCUCCACUAAAGUCAAAUCUGCCUUUAUUUCCAGGUAUUGUCUUUGCUGUGUUAGGAAGUCCAUUUUGCUUUGCUGGAGAGGACAUAUUACUUGCUACUUCAACACUUAGUUUGACCCACUCCAGUAGCACCUCCACCACCUUCCCUUCCUAGUUAAGACAAUCAACAGUGUUUACAGACAUUGCUAUGCUUAACUAGGUCAAUGCACUUCUUAAAAAGAACUCAGCCAAGGCCAGGAUAUUUGCAAUGUGUAGACAUGGGUCACCUAGCCUGUUAGUUUUGUCUUCUUAGGAAAAUCAUUUAACUCCUGAGUUUAUAGAUUCCCAUCUAGAAAUGGUUGUGCAAGAAUAAGAUUAGCUAGCUGUGUAGGAAUUUGCUGAAUUCACAAACAGGUGGAGGAGGUAUGUGGGACCCACGGUCUCUUUUUCCAAGCUCUCCUACUUCACCACUUUGGAAGCUUGCUCUAGUUGUGAGUCAGAGGGAAGAUUAGCAGUCCCUUUGCCUUCAGAAGGAGGGGCUGAGGAAUAUUUUUGGAUACUGUGAACCCAGGCCACACAUUGCAAGAUACAGUGGCUAUUCUUGGAACCUUGCUGAGAUGAUGAAGUGGGGAUAUUAAGAGUCCACAGGUGUCAGACGCCAUGUCCUAUGUCCCAGAACACCAGAAAGACUUGCCUCACACCUCAUUGGGUUAUGUACCCACAUGUCCCUAUAUAGAUGAGAACUAAACCACAGAACAGUCUCUUCAAGAAGCAUGAUCACCGUCUUGGUUGUCUACUGAGGACAAUAACCAGGGAAUUCUGAGACCAUGUUGGAAGUCUGCUAGAAUGGGAAAGCAGAAAUAAGAAUCAAGAAUGGCACUAGAAUAUAACUCAGGAAAGAUGAAAGGAGCAGGCCAUACCCCAGAUACUUCUUUGGAAACAGCUAGGGAUAAUGUUCUUCCCAGUCUAUACUUAACCUACAGUCUGUCAGACAAGAAGACAGAGCUAUAAAGAGCAACUGACUACACAACUGGGAGAGAGAUGCAGGCUCCUGCACCAGAGUGAAGUGGGCUGCUUAUCCAGGCUGUGCGAGCCAGGGAAGGAGCCUGCUACUCAAGUAUUUACCCAAACCCUGGACUGUGUCCACAGAGAGCACAUCUCAGUGGGUGGACUGAGAGCUGCUUCAGUCUUGCCUAGAACAUCUCCAGGGACACUUUUGGACUAGAUAAUUCCUUCUUUGCCUUGAAAAACAUUUGUUGCACCCCUACAUCGACCCACUCCACUAGCACCUUCACCAACUUCCCUCCAGAGUUAAGGCAUUGGACCCUGUUUGCAGACAUUGCCAAAGGUCUCCAGGGGAAGCACAAGCAAAAUUGUUCCUGAAUGAGAAGCACUGGUCGAGCCUUCUGGUUUUAAAUCCAAAAGUGGCAAUGUUUGUAAUGAUUCCCAGGGCUAGAGCUUGGUGUGAAAUGUAGGUAGAUCUACAAUUUAAAAAAUUAAUGGGGUUGGGGAUUUAGCUCAGUGGUAGAGCGCUUGCCUAGCAAGUGCAAGGCCCUGGGUUUGGUCUGCAGCUCCGAAAAAAAAGAAAAAAAUUAAUUAAUUAAAAAUAUAUAUGCAUAUGUGUAUGUAUAUCCAAAACUUACACUAACUUAUUUAUGUCUGUGAAGCCACAAGGCAUUAUUUAUAUGUCCCCCACCCCAUGCACUUAGCAGAGGCAACAGUGUGGGUCAUUACACAUGCUUGAGUCAGAGUCCCAGCUGCUCAGGUCCCAGCUUCUUUUGUUGUUUGCAUGAUGUUGGACAAAGGAAUCAUGUCUCUGCAACUCACAGUCUUGGUCCAUAGUGCAGAUGACAGCAGCCACCUCACCGUGCAUCUGUCACGCAGGCAUCCUGCUCAUCCACAGGUGUAGAGGGCACAAGCACCACCCCGGAUGAGGGUGGUGAGUCCUACACAUGGCCAAUUCUAGCACUUCUCAGCUGAAGUGGGGAGAUGAAAGUGUUUUAAGUGUUCAUGGGAGUAGCACUAAGCUUCCUUCCUUUCUUUUAAAAAUAAGUACCCCAUAUACUAACAGAACUGUCCUGCCACCCAAAAUAAAACUGCCGAGAACUUUCAGUUUUCCAGGAGCCCAUGUGGUCCCUAGGGCGAUCAGCUGGGCAGCUCCUGAAUCAGGCACCCCGACCACCACUUAGCCACCACCAUGGCUUUGCCCAUUGCAGAACUUCCAGUUAUCAUUAUCCCUAGCCAUCGCCAGCCUGUCUAAGCUGUGCCUAUAACCACUGUCAUAAAAGGCAAGAACUACAGGGAAUGCCAGGGCUGAGGUACAAGUUAAGAUCAAGCACAUUAGCACCGUUAAUCUGAGUGAGAAGAACUGAUCUCUGGAGUCUGGUUAGUUUUGUUUAUCAGACUCAAAUCCAAAAUUGCAUAUCUAGAUGUCUCCAAAAUAUCUCAUUGGAGUUAAGAAAUAGUUCCGUCAUUAUAAUGAAGUUGGCCUUUUGUGUUUUAGGAGUGAAGAGACAGUUCAUAUCUGUGCUUCCUUAUUUGUCUGAAGUGUUUACAGUUAGCAUAAAGUCUGCCUAGUCUGGCAUUGAGACUGUUUACUGUGGCAGUAAUGUUGACUGAUAAACUUGAUGGGAUUUAGAAUCAACCAGAAGACACACCUGCAAUUGUGUCUACAAAGGACUUUCUGAGGAAGUUUAACUGAGGGAGAAAGGCCCACCCUGAACUUGGGGGUAGCUCUCUUAAAUGCUUAGCACAGUUCUAAGCUUUUAGAACUAUGAGAAAGACAUCCCUGCUUGUCCCCGCCAGCGGGGACCCAGUUAUUCAGGGUCCCGAAGAGGCUUUCUACCUGUGGGCCAAAAUGGGGGUGAAGAGAAGAAGGAGACCA